UCACAGCCCAGUUGGUAGAGCGUGAGACUCUCAAUCUCAGGGUUUGGGGUUUGAGCCCCACAUUGGACAA